AAAACGACUCUCGGCAACGGAUAUCUCGGCUCUCGCAUCGAUGAAGAACGUAGCGAAAUGCGAUACUUGGUGUGAAUUGCAGAAUCCCGUGAACCAUCGAGUCUUUGAACGCAAGUUGCGCCUUAAGCCUUCUGGCCGAGGGCACGUCUGCCUGGGUGUCACAAA
rnacentral:rRNA from 2 species